rnacentral:rRNA from 1 species
CGCUAUCACUCCUACGGGAGGCAGCAGUGGGGAAUAUUGCACAAUGGGGGAAACCCUGAUGCAGCCAUGCCGCGUGUGUGAAGAAGGCCUUCGGGUUGUAAAGCACUUUCAGUAGGGAGGAAGGUAGUGUAGUUAACACCUGCAUUAUUUGACGUUACCUACAGAAGAAGCACCGGCUAACUCCGUGCCAGCAGCCGCGGUAAUACGGAGGGUGCGAGCGUUAAUCGGAAUUACUGGGGCGUAAAAGCGCAUGCAGGCGGCCUGUUAAGUCAGAUGUGAAAGCCCGGGGCUUAACCUCGGAAUUGCAUUUGAAACUGGCAGGCUAGAGUCUUGUAGAGGGGGUAGAAUUUCAGGUGUAGCGGUGAAAUGCGUAGAGAUCUGAAGGAAUACCAGUGGCGAAGGCGGCCCCCUGGACAAAGACUGACGCUCAGAUGCGAAAAGCGUGGGGAGCAAACAGGAUUAGAUACCCUGGUAG